CCUACGGGAGGCAGCAGUGGGGAAUAUUGGGCAAUGGAGGCAACUCUGACCCAGCAACGCCGCGUGAAUGAUGAAGGUCUUCGGAUUGUAAAGUUCUGUGAUGGGGGAUGAACACAAUGACGGUACCCCAAUAGCAAGCCACGGCUAACUACGUGCCAGCAGCCGCGGUAAUACGUAGGUGGCAAGCGUUAUCCGGAAUGACUGGGCGUAAGGGGUGCGUAGGUGGUUUAGUAAGUUGGCGGUGUAAUUCCGGGGCUCAACCUCGGCGCUACCGCCAAAACUAUUAGCCUAGAGUGCAGGAGGGGUAAGUGGAAUUCCGAGUGUAGCGGUGGAAUGCGUAGAUAUUAGGAGGAACAUCAGGGGCGAAGGCGACUUACUGGACUGUAACUGACACUGAGGCACGAAAGCGUGGGGAGCAAACAGGAUUAGAUACCCGUGUAGUC
rnacentral:rRNA from 1 species